rnacentral:rRNA from 1 species
AUUGAACGCUGGCGGAAUGCUUUACACAUGCAAGUCGAACGGCAGCACGGGGGCAACCCUGGUGGCGAGUGGCGAACGGGUGAGUAAUACAUCGGAACGUGCCCAGUCGUGGGGGAUAACGUAGCGAAAGUUACGCUAAUACCGCAUACGAUCUACGGAUGAAAGCGGGGGACCGUAAGGCCUCGCGCGAUUGGAGCGGCCGAUGUCAGAUUAGGUAGUUGGUGAGGUAAAGGCUCACCAAGCCGACGAUCUGUAGCUGGUCUGAGAGGACGACCAGCCACACUGGGACUGAGACACGGCCCAGACUCCUACGGGAGGCAGCAGUGGGGAAUUUUGGAUAAUGGGCGCAAGCCUGAUCCAGCCAUUCCGCGUGCAGGACGAAGGCCUUCGGGUUGUAAACUGCUUUUGUACGGAACGAAAAGGCUCUGGUUAAUACCCGGGGCUCAUGACGGUACCGUAAGAAUAAGCACCGGCUAACUACGUGCCAGCAGCCGCCGUAA